GAUGAACGCUGGCGGCGUGCUUAACACAUGCAAGUCGAACGGAAGGGCUCCUGCUUGCAGGGGUACUCGAGUGGCGAACGGGUGAGUAACACGUGGGUGAUCUGCCCUGCACUUCGGGAUAAGCUUGGGAAACUGGGUCUAAUACCGGAUAGGACCGCAUUUUGGAUGGUGUGGUGGAAAGUUUUUUCGGUGUGGGAUGAGCUCGCGGCCUAUCAGCUUGUUGGUGGGGUAAUGGCCUACCAAGGCGUCGACGGGUAGCCGGCGUGAGAGGGGGUACGGCCACAUUGGGACUGAGGUGCGGCCCAGCCUCCUACGGGAGGCAGCAGUGGGGAAUAUUGCACAAUGGGCGCAAGCCUGAUGCAGCGACGCCGCGUGGGGGAUGACGGCCUUCGGGUUGUAAACUCCUUUCGCUAGGGACGAAGAGUAAUUGACGGUACCUGGAGAAGAAGCACCGGCUAACUACGUG
rnacentral:rRNA from 1 species